GGAAGAUUGGCAGAGCGGUAAUGCGUCGGGUUGCUACUCCGUAGCCGGGUUCACACCCGCACAGGUUCGAUCCCUGUAUCUUCCG
rfam:Kitasatospora griseola strain MF730-N6 RKJC_7, whole genome shotgun sequence.